rnacentral:misc_RNA from 1 species
CACCCCUCCAGCCUCGCUGGGUCUUGGGCGUCCGCGGUCCGCCGCGCGCCUCAAUGUCGCCGGCCGGUGCGCCUGUCCCCGAGCGUCGUGACCUUCUGGUUCGCUCGUGAGGGUCGGGGGCGCCGUGCCGUAAACCUCUCUAUUCA